GUGAGGAAUAUUGGUCAAUGGACGAGAGUCUGAACCAGCCAAGUAGCGUGAAGGAUGACUGCCCUAUGGGUUGUAAACUUCUUUUAUAUGGGAAUAAAGUGAGCCACGUGUGGCUUUUUGUAUGUACCAUACGAAUAAGGAUCGGCUAACUCCGUGCCAGCAGCCGCGGUAAUACGGAGGAUCCGAGCGUUAUCCGGAUUUAUUGGGUUUAAAGGGAGCGUAGGCGGACUAUUAAGUCAGCUGUGAAAGUUUGCGGCUUAACCGUAAAAUUGCAGUUGAUACUGGUCGUCUUGAGUGCAGUAGAGGUAGGCGGAAUUCGUGGUGUAGCGGUGAAAUGCUUAGAUAUCACGAAGAACUCCGAUUGCGAAGGCAGCUUACUGGACUGUAACUGACGCUGAUGCUCGAAAGUGUGGGUAUCAAACAGGAUUAGAAACCCGGGUAGUCC
rnacentral:rRNA from 1 species